rnacentral:rRNA from 1 species
GUGGGGAAUCUUCCGCAAUGGACGAAAGUCUGACGGAGCAACGCCGCGUGAGUGAAGAAGGUCUUCGGAUUGUAAAGCUCUGUUAAUCGGGACGAAAGAGCCUAGUGUGAAUAAUGCUAGGAAGUGACGGUACCGGAAUAGAAAGCCACGGCUAACUACGUGCCAGCAGCCGCGGUAAUACGUAGGUGGCAAGCGUUGUCCGGAAUUAUUGGGCGUAAAGCGCGCGCAGGCGGAUCUGCCAGUCUGUCUUAAAAGUUCGGGGCUUAACCCCGUGAUGGGAUGGAAACUACAGAUCUAGAGUAUCGGAGAGGAAAGUGGAAUUCCUAGUGUAGCGGUGAAAUGCGUAGAUAUUAGGAAGAACACCAGUGGCGAAGGCGACUUUCUGGACGAAAACUGACGCUGAGGCGCGAAAGCCAGGGGAGCGAACGGGAUUAGAAACCCUUGUAGUCC